rnacentral:rRNA from 1 species
UACGUAGGGAGCAAGCGUUGUCCGGAAUCAUUGGGCGUAAAGCGCGCGUAGGCGGCCCGGUAAGUCCGCUCUGAAAGUCCAGGGCUCAACCCUGGAAUGCGGGUGGAUACUGCCGGGCUAGAGUCCGGAAGAGGCGAGUGGAAUUCCUGGUGUAGCGGUGGAAUGCGCAGAUAUCAGGAGGAACACCAAUAGCGAAGGCAGCUCGCUGGGACGGUAUUGACGCUAAGGCGCGAAAGCGUGGGGAGCAAACAGG